GGCGGCGUGCCUAACACAUGCAAGUCGCACGAGAAAGGGUAGCAAUACCUGAGUAAAGUGGCGCACGGGUGAGUAACACGUGACUAAUCUACCCUCGAGUGGGGAAUAACUGAGAGAAAUCUUAGCUAAUACCGCAUAACACUUACGAGUCAAAGCAGCAAUGCGCUUGGGGAGGAGGUCGCGGCCGAUUAGCUAGUUGGCGGGGUAAUGGCCCACCAAGGCGAUGAUCGGUAUCCGGCCUGAGAGGGCGCACGGACACACUGGAACUGAAACACGGUCCAGACUCCUACGGGAGGCAGCAGUGGGGAAUUUUGCGCAAUGGGGGAAACCCUGACGCAGCAACGCCGCGUGGAGGAUGAAAUAUCUUGGUAUGUAAACUCCUUUCGAUGGGGAAGAUUAUGACGGUACCCAUAGAAGAAGCCCCGGCUAACUUCGUGCCAGCAGCCGCGGUAAUACGANGGGGGCAAGCGUUGUUCGGAUUUAUUGGGCGU
rnacentral:rRNA from 1 species